AUGGGCAUGCUUGCCUUCAGCCCUGGACGGCCAAGCUGGAUUGCAAAUCACCCAUUCAGACAGGAGCUUAGUCACAUGAUCUCACUGUUGGAUCUCCCAGGGUGCCUUGGAUUUAUUUUCCCGAGUGGGACUUAAAGGCUGAGUUGAGUCCUUCAGCAAGAUGUAUAUAUUGCCUUCCACUCUCUGGUUGGUUUCUGUGAGUAUGGCCUUCUUUGGGAAUAGGUCUUUGAAGAUAUAAUCAAGCUUAGAGUGGAUUGGGAUGGUCCCUAUCUACUGUAGGGGAGAGACCCCCAGACACACAGGGAGAAUGCCAGGUAAGGUUAGCGGCAAGCUCCUAGAGCUAUCAGAAAAUACACUUCUCCAUGGCCUUAAUACCCAGCCUUGGCUGUAUUUUGUGACUGUGGCCCUAGGAAGCAGAUGCAGUGGUAAAAGAAGGAGCAAGAAGAGUAGGGUGCCUGCCUGUGCCAAGACUGGCAGCACAACCCCUCCCCCCCUUUGCAGGAAAGGUCCUUGAACUUGAGGCAGGUGAGGCUAACUGUGUGCUCCAUAGUAUCGAUGAGGCUGAGGCUAAGAGAGGUGUUUGUAGCCACACAGUGGGGCUGUUGGUAGGUAGGUUUGGGUCCGAACCCUGGUGUGUCUCCUGAGCUUAGAACCUUACCUGGCUUCUGCUGAGUCUAUCCAAGGGAGUUCAUUAGGAACCUGGAUGUGUUUGCACUGAGGCGGAAGAAACCAGAGAACGAGGGGCAGAGGCUUCCCGGUGUUUCCCUCGCGGGUCCACAGGCACUGACGCUGAGUGGGGAGGUGCAGGGUGCAUGGAGUCUGGCUGGGACCCUUGCUUACUUGCCAGGCACCCCAAACUGCUCUGCCCUUCCUUCAUCACUCCUCCUUCCCCUUCCUCCUCCUCUUCUUUCUUCCCCCCAAAUGAAAUCAUUUUUAGAAAACUGCCUCCCCCCCCCCCCCGCCCCCCCAUGGGGGAUGAUAGUAGGGGGUGUGGCUUGGCUUUUUGGUUUGCAGAUUUUAAAAGGAGUUAUCCUAUUUAAAAAAAAAAAACAGAAAUUAUCCUGCAAAGUACACUGAAUACUUGGGAAAGGAGCACGGACUCAGUCCUCCCUGGCUUUGACCUCUGUAGACCUCUAGUGCUGAGCGCCCAUCUUGCAGGGUCACCUGUCCCCUGACCUGCCUCUGCUGUCCUGUCCAGGGUCAGAGCACUGGACCUGGAGGGUAGGCCUUGCCUCCUGGAUACUGGAGGUGUUAGCACUCCCGGGCACACUUUAAAGAGGUAAAUUCCGUACAGGUGCCUUAUGUGGAGUCAGGGUAGCCCUGGUUUGGGAAGCAUCUUUUUCCACACUGGUCCUUUGGGUGGGGACAUAAAGUCACGUGCCCCAGCUUGCACAGCCGUGAAAGCCGGAGUCAGUCGGACUCCUGGUACGGAAUGGAGGGCCUGGCUGGAGUCCUCUGGAGUUUCGAAUGUAUUGACUACUUUGUUCUUGAUGAUACAAUAUCUGCAUGACCUCAGUUUUCUGAGCUUCUGAAGGCACUUUUGUUGAGUUUAGUAAGAGCUUGUUAUUUCUGAGAAACGCUUGUGGUCUGGACCCCAGGCUGCCUUUGGAGCAUGGCGCUGACUCCUGUCUUCAGACAGAAGGUCCGGGCAGGGCUGGCACUGGGAAGCUAGGUAGUUUCCUAGGUUCAGGGUGACCUGUUAGGUCUCAAACCAGGGACAAAGAGCUAACUGAGGUGCCUGCCAGCUACUUACUCCCAACAUCCCUCAGUCCCUGCCUGCUCCCCGGUCCUCUGGGCCCAUAGAUAACUCAGCCAUUUUGGUUACACCAGUCUCAUCCCGGGCCUCUCCUCGAUCGGAGGCUCCUCUCUUGCUCUCCUCCCCGUCUCUGCUCACAUGGCCCUGCACUUGGACUCUUCCAGAUGCCUCUGGCUGUUUUCUCCCUCAGUCUAUAAUAAUAACACCACACCUGGAAGCAGGCAGGUUCCCCUUCUCCACGCAUGACCCCUUUCUCUUAAGUUUUUUACUCAGUGGUGGAGAUGACCAAAGAGACUGAACUUAAUACAGUUCCCUACCACCCUCCCUGGAAUGUGGCAGGCUGUACCCAUUCCAGGCACCCAUUAUGUGUACCUUAGGGGCGGGAGAGAACUUUGAGGAAGCUGUGGCUCCUUCAGCUCACCUAUUCCGAGGCUUUCUGAAGUUGUAAGUACAGGGACUGUUGAGCAGAGCUGGGCUCCCAACGUCUGGACUAGCCUGUGUGAGGGCCUCCUUCCCCAUCGGGCUGGCUCCCGCCCUUGUCCUCGGGGACUUCAGAAGUGCUGGGAGCACAGGUGGUUUCUGGGGAUUCGGUGGUAGGAACUGAUUCAAUUACUGAGGCACUUCUUUGGACCAUUUUUAUUUUCUUUAAUACCUGGUAUUUUACUUUGCUAGGCUUCCCCCCACUCCCCGAAUAAAGGCACAUUCAAUAAUAAGAAUUCUUUACCAUCUAAUACAAAAUGAUACUGCUUGUCAGCUUGAAGAAAAAGCAAAUUGUCUGCUUAGUGUUUUGGGAUUUCCUCUUCUUUUUUUCCCCCCCUCCCUUAUAAAGGGGGAAAAAAAGCAGAUUAGAGAAAAUCCUUGAACAUAGUCUCCUGAUUGAAAAAUAUAUCGCUGGGUUUCCUUGAACAUAGUCUCCUGAAUGAAAACUGUAUCGCUGGGUUUCGCCGCUCCAUCAUUUUCUUAAAGCAGCAGUUGUCCUCAUUUAGAACACAUUUCUGUCUUCUAUCCCAGCUUUGAGAAAGCUUUACAGACGCUUUACCAGUGUGUGUUUGUGUGAUUGUUUGUUUGUUUCAAAAUUGGGGAAAAAAAACAAGCAAAAAUCUCACAAAUGAUCUUGAGACAGGCAGACAUUGGAGAUAGAGACACAAGUCCUUGGUGACUGAGUGUCCUUAAGCAAGAUCCUUGUUUUGAGUUUGGAUCUGUGGUAUGGGAUUAAUGAGGCCUCUCACGUGGUUGUUUAAAGAAUGACGCGGUGGCACAGCCCUUCACUACAGUGGGCACGGUGAGCACCAUGCUGGUGGCUGUGUUCUUUGUGUUGGUGCUGUGGACCAAAUUAUGUUCUUCCAAAAAAGUUUACGGAGAGACCUGACCUCUACCGUGUGUUUGAGGUGGGGCUUUUAGAGGUGAGGUCAGAUGAGGCGACAAGAAUGGCCGUGAUCACGGGGCUGGAGAGAUGGCUCAGAGGUUAAGAGCACUGACUGCUCUUUCAGAGGUCCUGAGUUCAAUUCCCAGCAACCACACGGUGGCUUACAACCAUCUGUAAUGGGUUCUGAUACCCUCUCCCCGUGUGACUGAAGACAGCUACAGUGUACUCACAUAAAUAAAAUAAAUCUC
rnacentral:lncRNA from 1 species